rnacentral:miRNA from 1 species
CCGACCUCCCGUAGCUCACUU